rnacentral:pre_miRNA from 1 species
CCAUUAAUUGCCAUUAACGGUGUAACAGUAAGCUGAUAUGGCACGUUAAAUCAUAAUUUUAAACAAAAAUUUAGGUUAAAUUAUACAAGUGGUCCCCAUAUUUUUUUUCGUUUUAAGCAAUUUUUUAUGUUCUUUUAACUUCUUUUUUCUUUAUUCUCUUCUGCUUCUCCUUUUAUUUCCCUUCUUUCUCCAUCUUUUUUAACUUCAAAGAAAAAAAAUUAAAUUGCUCAAAACAAAAAAAAAAAUAUAGGGAUCAAUUGCAUAAUUUAACCUAAAAUUUUCAUUGGAAAUAAUGAUUUAACGUGCCACAUCAGCUUACCAUUACACCAUUAAUGACAAUUAACAC